AGAGUUUGAUCCUGGCUCAGGAUGAACGCUAGCGACAGGCCUAACACAUGCAAGUCGAGGGGCAACAUGGUAUCAGCUUGCUGAUACUGAUGGCGACCGGCGCACGGGUGAGUAACGCGUAUGUAAUCUACCUGUAACAGAGGGAUAACCCGGAGAAAUCCGGACUAAUACCUCAUAGCACAUAUUAUUCGCAUGAAUUUUAUGUUAAAGAGACUCGGUUACAGAUGAACAUGCGUUCCAUUAGCUAGUUGGCGGGGUUACGGCCCACCAAGGCAACGAUGGAUAGGGGUUCUGAGAGGAAGGUCCCCCACACUGGUACUGAGACACGGCCCAGACUCCUACGGGAGGCAGCAGUGAGGAAUAUUGGUCAAUGGACGCAAGUCUGAACCAGCCAUGCCGCGUGCAGGAUGACGGCUCUAUGAGUUGUAAACUGCUUUUGUACGAGGGUAAACGCAGAUACGUGUAUCUGUCUGAAAGUAUCGUACGAAUAAGGAUCGGCUAACUCCGUGCCAGCAGCCGCGGUAAUACGGAGGAUUCAAGCGUUAUCCGGAUUUAUUGGGUUUAAAGGGUGCGUAGGCGGUUUGAUAAGUUAGAGGUGAAAUUUCGGGGCUCAACCCUGAACGUGCCUCUAAUACUGUUGAGCUAGAGAGUAGUUGCGGUAGGCGGAAUGUAUGGUGUAGCGGUGAAAUGCUUAGAGAUCAUACAGAACACCGAUUGCGAAGGCAGCUUACCAAACUAUAUCUGACGUUGAGGCACGAAAGCGUGGGGAGCAAACAGGAUUAGAUACCCUGGUAGUCCACGCAGUAAACGAUGAUAACUCGUUGUCGGCGAUACACAGUCGGUGACUAAGCGAAAGCGAUAAGUUAUCCACCUGGGGAGUACGUUCGCAAGAAUGAAACUCAAAGGAAUUGACGGGGGCCCGCACAAGCGGAGGAACAUGUG
rnacentral:rRNA from 1 species